rnacentral:tRNA from 1 species
GCGAUGGUAGUUCAGUUGGCUAGAACGUCACUUUGCCAAAGUGAAGGUCGCCGGUUCGAGCCCGGUCCAUCGCUCCA